rnacentral:rRNA from 1 species
CUACGUGCCAGCAGCCGCGGUAAUACGGAAGGUCCGGGCGUUAUCCGGAUUUAUUGGGUUUAAAGGGGGCGUAGGCUGGAGAUUAAGUGUGUUGUGAAAUGUAGACGCUCAACGUCUGACUUGCAGCGCAUACUGGUUUCCUUGAGUACGCACAACGUUGGCGGAAUUCGUCGUGUAGCGGUGAAAUGCUUAGAUAUGACGAAGAACUCCGAUUGCGAAGGCAGCUGACGGGAGCGCAACUGACGCUGAAGCUCGAAGGUGCGGGUAUCGAACAGGAUUAGAUACCCUGGUAGUCCGCACGGUAAACGAUGGAUGCCCGUUUUUGGCUUUUAAAGUCAGAGACCAAGCGAAAGCAUUAAGCAUCCCACCUGGGGAGUACGCCGGCAACGGUGAAACUCAAAGGAAUUGACGGGGGCCCGCACAAGCGGAGGAACAUGUGGUUUAAUUCGAUGAUACGCGAGGAACCUUACCCGGGCUUGAA